AAUAAUAGUAUAGAUAGAUAUUGACAUAUUGUACAUGACUUGAGAUUACUGGAGAUAAAUGUGUAAACGUUUUUACAUAUAUAUUGAAACUUUCACAAGUUUCUAACACACUCGUACGUGUGUACAAUUUGUAAAUAUUAUUCAAUUUAGUUAGAACGUCAAUUUUGUGGGAAACUUUCACACCUUUUAGGAGACGACAUCCGCAAGUUUCUAUGAAAUUUUAGUUAUUUCUUUCCAUAUAAUUUCUUCGUUUUCUUCAUUUUAAAAUUACGUUUUAAUAUCUUAAUCUUAAACUCUAAAAUUGAAAUUUUAUUCUAAUAUCAUAAAAUUAAACUGUUGUAAUAACACUAGCUAGCUGUAACUCAUAAACUUCUAGUCAAAAAAAUCACAACACUCUUUUUUUUGUCUGAUCAGUAUCUCUCCCCCUUAUUUUUGUUCUCAUAGUAUUUUCAGGAUAAUUUUGGAAAACGUAGUUUCUUGUAACACUACAAGAAAAAUCACUUAGGAAUAUUAAAUCUCAAGUUCAAGCUAUUCCUUAUUAUAGUAAUAGGGGUUAAUCCUGCAUCAAUCUUACAACAUAAAUAUUUGCCUACGUAUUCUAAAACCUGGCAAGUUGGUUACUGAGAAUAUCACAAUAACAUAUAAGAAUGGUUCAAAGGGAACAAAUAUUACUUGUUUCUUUUAGAAAAACUUUUUGUUAAGACUUGCACGUCAUACCUUGCUGUUUACAUUAUUUUAUUACACAUUAAAUUGAACUAGCUAGCCCAAACGAAACUCAGUCUCUCGCUUCUUUUUUUUCGAGAAAAAAAAACACUUUUAACCACUGCACCAGGUCUCUCGCUUCUUAAUCUGUCUUCUCUUCAAUCUAUCUUUCUAUCUCACCCUGAUCAGCCAUGGGGGAAGAACCACUGCUUCAGAAACUCAGGAUUCAAGAAGACAUCGAAUCAGCCAAACACAAACUUGUUAAUGACGACGUUGACGACGGUGAUGGUCCAGUCACUUUCAUUUUACUCUUCACAACCUUCACCGCUCUCUGCGGCACCUUCUCUUAUGGCACUGCCGCCGGCUUUACGUCACCAGCUCAAUUUGGGAUGAUGGCAGGACUAAACCUUUCUUUGGCUGAGUUCUCUUUCUUUGGAUCCAUAUUAACAAUUGGUGGACUUGUGGGAGCCGCGUUGUCCGGAAAACUCGCUGAUCUCCUUGGUCGGAGAGGCGCUUUAUGGGUUUCAAACUCGUUUUGCAUGACCGGCUGGCUUAUGAUCGCCUACUCUCAGGCGGCUUGGUCCCUUGACAUCGGAAGACUUUUUCUCGGCGUUGCAGCUGGUUUAUCUUGUUAUGUGGUACCAGUCUACAUUGUAGAAAUCUCACCCAAACAAAUCAGAGGCGCGUUUACUGCGGUUAAUGCGCUUGUGAUGUCUUCUAGCGUCUCCAUUACAUUCCUCGUUGGAUCAGCCACUUCAUGGAAAACAUUAGCUCUCAUAAGUACGGUUCCUUGUGUUUUAGAAUUCGUUGGUUUAUUCUUUAUACCGGAGUCUCCUAGGUGGCUGUCUAGAAAUGGUCGGGUAAAAGAAUCGGUAGCUGCACUCCAACGUCUGCGAGGAAACAACACUAAUAUCACCAAAGAGGCUGCAGAAAUCAAAAUAUACAUGGAAAAUCUUCAAGAAGAAUUCAAAGAAGAUUGCUUUUUCGAGCUCUUCAAACCACGAUACUCUCGUGUUAUUAGUGUGGGAAUUGGAUUGCUAGUACUGCAACAAGUCGGAGGCCUCAGUGGCUAUACAUUUUACAUGAGCUCGAUAUUUCACAAAUCGGGGUUUCCUAACAACAUAGGAGUAUCAAUAACGAGCGCGGUGCAGUUGGUGACAAGCAUUUUAGGAUUAAUAAUCGUGGAUAAAUAUGGGAGACGGUCCCUUCUAACGGUUGCGACGGUCAUGAUGUGCAUGGGGUCAUUAAUCACAGGACUAUCGUUUUUAUUUCAGACAUCAAACCCAAUUUGCAGAGCUAUGCUUUACUCAACAACUACACCCCAAUUUCAGCACUCAUUGGAGUGUUGGUUUUUUUCGUUUCCAUCACAGUCGGAAUAGGAGGUAUUCCAUGGGUCAUGGUCUCCGAGAUGACACCGAUAAAUGUAAAGGGAUCGGCAGGAACGCUAUGCAAUCUAACGAGCUGGUCCUGCAAUUGGUUCGUCUCCUACACAUUCAACUUUCUCUUCCAAUGGAGUACUUCUGGUGUGUUUUUCAUAUAUUCAAUAAUCUCUGGUUUGGGCAUUCUAUUUGUGCUGAAAAUGGUACCAGAGACUCGAGGUCGUUCACUCGAAGAAAUCCAAGCUGAUAUUACCCGAUAAUUUAAUUUGUACGUAGUAAUAUUUCUUUUUAUUUGGUAUCCAGUUCAUAUAGCAUAAAUGGUCUCACUUAUCAGUCAAUUCAAUCCUCGUCUGGCCAUAAUUAAAUAUGCAUAAUUUGCACAUAUACCACCAAACAAUUGGUUGGUUCUUUUUUUUUUUUGUAAGGUCGAUUGAUCCAGUUUAUGUAUGGUUCUUUUUUUUUAAGGUUGAUUGGUGCAUUUUUAUGUAUGGUGACAUAUAUUACAAGAUAAAUUAAAAGUUAAAUCGCAUUACAUUACUUAUUAGAUAUUGCUAUAUAAAGUCGAACCAAUACGAAGUUUUUAUAUUUAUGUAUUUAAGGGUACCUUCUAUUUUGUCCUAAUAGGAAAGUAUUCUUAUUUACCCACAAUUUUUAUUCUUAUUAUCCCACUCUUUUUCUAACUACCCCACCUUUCUCCACCAUUAUUCCCUUUCCCUUCUUACCCUUUUUUUUUUUUUAAAUUUUCAAAUACUACGGGAUCCACAACCAUUUUUUUUUAAUUCCUUUAUUUAUCUGGAUGGAUCCCAUAUUAUUUUUUGUACAGACCAAAUUAUUUUUUAGAAUUUUUUUAAAAAAUUUCAGCUGGAUCCUAGAUUUUAUUUUCCAAAACAAAUUGUUAAAUGAUUUAUAUAGCUAAAAUUUAUAAAAGAUAAAAAAUUUCUAUUUAUCUUGAAAUAA